CUGGCUCAGGAUAAACGCUGGCGGCGUGCAUAACACAUUCAAGUCGAACGAAGCUCCGGAACUUGCUGCAAGGGAAGGAAGACUUAGUGGCGGACGGGUGAGUAACGCGUGAGCAAUCUGCCUCGGGGGUGCGGGAUAACGUCUGGAAACGGACGCUAAUACCGCAUGACGCAUACUGAUCGCAUGGUCGGUAUGCCAAAGAUUCAUUGCCCUGAGAUGAGCUCGCGUCCGAUUAGACAGUUGGCGGGGUAACGGCCCACCAAAUCAACGAUCGGUAGCCGGACUGAGAGGUUGAACGGCCACAUUGGAACUGAGAUACGGUCCAGACUCCUACGGGAGGCAGCAGUGGGGAAUAUUGGGCAAUGGGCGAAAGCCUGAACCCCCAGCGACGCCGCGUGAGGGAAGAAGGUCUUCGGAUUGUAAACCUCUUUCAGCAGGGAAGAAGGAAGUGACGGUACCUGCAGAAGAAGCCACGGCUAACUACGUGCCAGCCGCAGC
rnacentral:rRNA from 1 species